UUAGUUACACAAAACAAUGUCAUUAGAGUUUAUAGAGAUAAGGAUAAUGGACUCCAUGUUUUUUCAUUUGAAGUAUGCGCGGUAUUAUCUGAAAGUUUUUCAUUUUAUGUCUAUGUCGUAAGAAACAAUGACAUUCAAAUCUUUUUAUGGUAUCUGGCUAAAAAUUGAUAUUUAUCAUUGUUCUCUACCCUGUGAAAACCAUUAAUUUUGUUUUUGUUGGAUGAACAAUUAACUUUGAGAACUACAUGGAUUACAUGGAUUGAGUUUAUUUUAAAUUCUAAACUACUAAUAGGGCAUACUCCUAGACACUGUGAAAAAUGUCAAUUAUCAAUAUUACACACAAUAAUUUCAUUUAAACCCAAACACAUAGUAAUAGCUAACAUAAACAUAAAGUAAUUUAUCCUAUUUUAUCUAAAAUAUUUGUUAGAGAAAAAUGAUUUAAUAAACAUUAAAGUGUAAUAUAUUUAUAGUUUUUCAGUAAAAAUGUUUUAAUAUUUUAUUAAUUUUUUAAAAAAUAAUGACUAAAAUUAAACAAAUAUUUAAUUGGUUUAAGGUCAAAAAAUAAGAUGAAUCAUAUAAGAUUAGAUUAUAGCGUUGACCACGAAAAACCAAAAUAUAAUUAAAAAUAUACGUAAAAUAUUUAAUCAAAUUAGUUUUCAAAUAAAAAAUUUCCAAUCUUUAAUAGUAAAAAGAAAAGUUUGACUUCACUCUCCACCACAAUAUGUAAACAUUAUUAUUAAAUAUUUUUCUAAACUACUAGUAUUUUUAUUCAAAAAAAAAAGAAAUCUAAACUAGUAUAGUAUUGAUAAAUAGAAUGUAAUAAUUUCAGCAAGAUUGCAUGCAGAAAUUUUCAGUUUAAAUUCUAUUCAAUACUAAAACAUUAUUUAUCAUCUAUAAAAAUAUAUUUUAAAUACUUAUAUUAAAAUUUAGAUAUAGUUAUUUUGAAUUAAAAAUUGAAAACAUUAUUUAAUUGCACAAAUUCUCUUAAACAUCUAUAAUAAUAAAGCAGAGUUUAGUUUUCUCCCACCUUAGGCCUCCACAUCAUCGAGAAGGAGGGGGCAAUUAAGGACACGUGUCCAUCUUUUAUUUCCGCAAGCCAGUUUUCUUGACUUCAAUUUGGGUUAUUUAUGUUUCUGUAGAAAUGACAAGGCUCAAUCUCUCAUUUGACCAAAAAAGCCCUAACAUGUCUCCUUCACUUUGUUUGUUCGUUUCGAUCUGAGGAACCCUGUCCGUUUCGAUUCCUUUCCCCAGCUGAGAAAUGUCAAUCGUUAUGGAAUUGGAACCUCAAUACCCACUAAUCUGGUUAUGGUCAAGAAAGGUGGAGCGUCGAUGGGUAGUGAUCUGGUCCUGGCUUGAUGGAAAGGUACUGAGACAUUUCCUUUUCUCAAUUAUCGAUCCCUAUAUUGCUAUCCCAUUAUCCCGUUCCUUUUUCUUUUCUUUUUUUGCGCAACUCCUUCCUUUUUCUAUGAUUAUACUUCUUUCUCAGUGUUUAUAUUGUUGGUUUUGCUAGAGAUUUCGAUGUUCAUGUUGUUGUGGAGCUCUAUUUCUCUGAGCUUAAGGCUAGCCAUUGUAGGAAGGUUGUGGUGACGAGGCUUCUUAUGUUUUUGGAAACUUGAAUUAUUAAGAAAUUCUGUUCUCGGAAGCUGGAAAUAAUAAGAGAUUGGAGAGUUGAUGGGCGUGGAUCUGCUAAUGGUCAAUCGAAAGGUAAUUAUUCUUACUGUCUACUUCGAUUUAAAAACCUGUGCACCUUCUGGAUUAUCCUUCUUACAAGUGUUCUUAUAUGGCCGCAGUCAACAAAGCAACAUAGCUUCUGCUCAGGCUCUGAACCACCGAUACCAUCGCUAUGUACAUCAUGUACCUUAUGGCCGUCACAACCCUUCGGUAUUUGAACUGAAAUACUGAUGAUAUGGGUCAGAUGUACGAGCUAUACUUCGAGCUUACUAUUCAGCUUCAUGCAAUUUGAUGGGGUUAGUUCUUUCUUUUCUUUUGUGUGUAUUCACAUGCCGAUCCUGAAGCUAGAUUUAAAUCUCUAGAUCAGAUUUCAAUUUCUAUGUUUUAACUAAGAAAGUUCUAUUUGGAAAAAUUCAUGAUUUUGUAAAUACCAUGCUUCCUGAAAUUUUGUUGCUAUUUCGGUUUUUUCUUUCGGAUUCUCAAUGAUGAUUCAUGAAGAUUAAGCGUUGACUUCAAAUAUGUGUUUUUUGAAUUGGUAAUUAUUGUGAAAACCUGUGGUCGGAACAUGAAUUUAUGAAUUUUGUUGCGUUCUAUUAGCUCUUUGACUCGCUCUCUAUAGCAUCCCAUAAAUAAUGAGAUGAUGUGUGUUUACGCUCCCCUCUGUUCUUGAUGCUCUCUUUUUGAUUCCCGAUGGAUAGUUCAUCAAGAUAUAUGUGCCUGAUUUCAUGUAUAUGUUUUUAGGAUUGCAACAUUUAGAUUGCCACUGAUGGGAACAUGAAAUUAUAAUAUUUUUAGUAGCGUUAUAUUAGCUCUUUGACUAUACUUUUCAGAUGCAAUACUUACUGUUGUGCUCUCAGUGUGGAGAAGCAGACUCUUAUUUCUCAAAUCUGCUAAACUUUUUUCCCCGCGUACUCUACUAUCAAUUUGUUUUUCUUCUUAAACUUGAUCAGCUUAGUUGAUGACAACCAACAAUCUGUCUGGCCCUUUUAUCUAGGAUUGUUCGGCCUUGAAUCUGCUUGCAUCAAAAGCCUUUGACCUUCCUCAUCCUACCAAGGGUCGAUCAUCUUCGUAGGUAUCUUAUUUACGUGUUACUGCUCUCCGAUGAGGCGAUGACCAUACAGCACACUGGAAACAAAAAUACCAAGCCUCUAAAUGUGUCCCCAAGUCUCACUACCGGCCUACCGUCUACAGAUAUAGCACGACUCAAGUCGGAGCGUCUUAGAGACCAUGGAGAAGAAGGAACAAAUGCAGUUUCUUAUGAACCUGCUGCAGACAAGACAAGGCACCAAGGAGAAACGCUUCGUUGAACCCCUUUUGAUAUGCAAGAGCCCGCACAAUACUCACUCAUUUCUGUUUUUAAUGAUUAUUCCAAUAGAGGAGAAACAAUUAACACAAAACGUGUUGGUUGUUUAGUCUUCAUGCGAGAUAUUCAUGUGAAAUACUAGCUCCUCUUUCACUUUUUUGGUGCGACGAGUAUGCUGUGAUUAAAUUAUUUGAUUGUGUUGAUUACUUGAUUUUGUUGAGCAUGAAAUUUACUUGCAUAAUUGUAAUAUGAUGCUUGAUUUGUCGUGAUUCCUUUUCUUUUCUGUAAGGUAGCCAAUAGGAAAAUUCAAAACCUCAAUCUUUAAGACAAUGACCACUGUCGGGCAUGUAAUAUUUGUUACAAAUUUUCCAACAAUCAAGGUUGCACCAAAACAAGUCCAGGUGACCACAAAUUUUGAAAACCAAAAACUAAAUACCAUUCAUCUCUUUUUAUUUUUAUUAUGUUUAUUUUACUCCAAGUUAGAUUGCAGCUUAGAUUUUAUCGGUCUUUAGACAAGGACCAUGGCUGGAUAUAUGCGAAGUAAUUGUGUGAAUUUAUCAAAUGAUCUUAUAUAAUAACUGACCAAUUUGGCUACUAUAUUUUCUAAACUAAAUUAUUUAAGUAUUGAACAAUUUCCAAAAUAUAAAAGUUAAAAACAUCAUAUAUGCUACCAAUAUAAUAAAACAAUAUCACAAAAUAACAAAAGAAUCAAAAAUAAAUAUAAUUAAUAACACAAAUUAUUCUAUUAAAUAAUUUUAAAUAAUAACAAUAAUAGAAAACCCGGCGCGUAGCCCCGGCCAACCCCUAGUCAUUUAAAAUAAUAAAAAAUAGGUAGAAUUAAUUAUACUCAAUCAUAACUUUCCAUUUACAAAGAAAAUUUCCAACCAUGUCGUAGAAAAGUUGGCAGACACCCUCAUCAAUUGUUUACAUAAUAUAAUCUAUAAAAGUAGAUUGCAAAUUGAUUGAGAAUACAAAACACUUACCUGAUCACUUGAAAGUUGUUGUUAUUUUUAUUUGAUAUCUCAAUCACAUGGUAGAUUGGACGCGAUGUCAUCACCUAUUUCUGUAAAUAUUUUUUUUUUAAUAAAGGACAGCUAAUCUAAUAUAUAACAAAUUUGCAAUAAAGGUAACUUUGAUAUUUUUAGACUUUUAUUACUUUUGCAUUGCUUAAAUUUUUUAUGUCACUUAAUUUAAAAGCCAAAACUAUGGAAAUUAUAAAAUACUAGAUCUUUUUGUCCGCGCUACGCGUGGAUUGUGUGUAUUAUAAAAUUUUAUAGUAUUUUUAUAUUUGGAAUUUUUACAGUAUUUCUCUUAUAAAUCAUAGAAUGUAAAAGAUAAUAAAACAGAUGAUAACUUUAAUUUUUUUCAUUGCGAUUUCUUGAAUUGAAGAACUUCACAUUGUUCUUUAUCAUUUUGUCUCAUAUUAGUUUUUUGUAAUUUUUUCUAAUCAAUUCAUAUUUAAAGUGGUGUUAAUUAUUAAUCUGUACACUAUUUUAAUAUAUGAAAAAUAUUAUUGUAAUAGUAUUUGAAUUGUUUUUGAUUCAAAACACUUGUAGUCAUCAAAUAUUAAAAUAAACACUAACUUGAUUUUUCUUUUGUUCCAAAAUUGUUACUCCUCUUUAGCCCAUAAAACAAACUGUUUUAAUUUAUUAGUUUGAUUUAUUUUUAAUUAAUUGUAACACUAAAAUUUUGAGAGUAAAUAUUCAGUUUUAGUUUGGGGAUAUAAUUUAAGUUAUCUUUUAGUUAACAUGUUACUAUUUAUUUUAUAACAAUUUGGAGUAAUUUAUUUCAUAUGUUUGUAUAUUAUUUGAAUUUCAAAAAAUAUCUGAUGCACUAGCUUUUUGUGACAAAUCAAAUUAAUGAUUCCAUUAGUUUUUUCACUAAAUCAAUUCCAUGUAGUUAAUAGUAACAGUAACAGCUUCGUCAAAGAAGAAGUGUACGUCAUUUGAUAUAGGUGAAUUUUGCAAGAUUAAACUCGUAACAACAUGGAAAUAAAGAGAAGAUGGUCUAUUUGUCAAAAAAAAAGAGAAGAUGGUCUCUUUCAAGAUUAAAGGUGUCAAAUUGUUUGUGAUUGUUUACAAAAAUAUAUUAUAAAAAUAAUGUUAAAAAUAUUAGAAUAUAAAACUUAAAUAAUGAUAGAAAUUCAAAUUUCUAAUAUUAUUAAACGAAACUUUAGUUUUAAUACUUAUAUUCAAAUCUGUUUAAUUUCCUAUCUUAUAAUUUACAAUACAUAAUUUAAAAAUAAAAAAAAAUUAUAAUACUAUUAUGACUAAAAACUAAUAGGUCUAUAUGGCCCAUCAAUUUUUUUUGUUAACUUGAUUUAUGAUAGAUGAUAAUCUGGAAAAAUUAUCUGGUGCAGAUAUGCUAUCAUGUCCUAUGUGAUCGAGAGAACAAAAAGCAAGAUAAAUGAAUUAUGUAAACUAUUUAUCGAGGCCCACCAUUUGGUAUUGUUGCUUACAUCCAUGAUCUCAUAAGCAUGCGCUUGGUACCAUUGCUUCUGCCUCUAAAUUCGGUCAUGCCAUCCCUAAAAGAGAUGACCCCCAGUCAAGACGAUCACGUAAAACCCAUUCAUCUUAGUAUUGGAAGCAGUAUCAUAGUUAUACUUCACCAUACCGUCAAUUGGACGUUCCCAACUUGUAUGUGAUAACAAAAAGCUCAACAUCAAUUUGUUAAUGAAGUUAUAACUGUAGUCUUCACCUAUUCAUCCACCUCUGCAUUAGUCGUUCCCCAUCUCCUUUGAAGUUGUCUGGUUGCACUUCCUUUUCUUGACUGUAAAGUAAACAGUAUCAUAAUGCACUUCCUUUAAGCUAAACAAAUGUAGUAUCAUAUACAGGCUUCAACUUUGCAUAACAAAACACCGAUAUAAAAUGUAUGAAUAUGUUUUCAGCAAGAUGUAAUAAAGAAACCAAUAGCAGGUUAAGUAAAGAAAUCCAUAUAUCAUAGAUUAACCAAACUCAGAGUAACCAUCAACAAUCAAAACUCUUCAUUUCAAAGGCUGCAGAAAAAUAAUUUUGCAUCCCAUAUAUUUUCAGUAUUCUGAAUCGAUAACUAAACAGAUUGUAAGAUAAAAUAUCUCUUUCUCCUUUCCAUUUUUCAUAAAUGGCUGAUUAGAAGCCCAAUAAGCUCCUCCAGAAAUCAUAUUUUUAUUGCCUAGAAAUAAAACCGAAUCAUU